AACGAACGUUGGCGGCAGGCCUAACACAUGCAAGUCGAGCGAGGACUUCGGUUCUAGCGGCGGACGGGUGAGUAACGCGUGGGAAUGUGCCCUUCUCUACGGAAUAGCCCUGGGAAACUGGGAGUAAUACCGUAUACGCCCUAUUGGGGAAAGAUUUAUCGGAAAAGGAUCAGCCCGCGUUGGAUUAGGUAGUUGGUGGGGUAAUGGCCUACCAAGCCGACGAUCCAUAGCUGGUUUGAGAGGAUGAUCAGCCACACUGGGACUGAGACACGGCCCAGACUCCUACGGGAGGCAGCAGUGGGGAAUCUUAGACAAUGGGGGCAACCCUGAUCUAGCCAUGCCGCGUGAGUGAUGAAGGCCUUAGGGUUGUAAAGCUCUUUCAGCUGGGAAGAUAAUGACGGUACCAGCAGAAGAAGCCCCGGCUAACUCCGUG
rnacentral:rRNA from 1 species